CCAUGAUAUCAGCUGCCGCAUGGACCAUAUUUUGUAGGUGUCCUGUCUAACACAUAUUUUUCAUUCAAUCUUUGGAGCUCUAACCCUUCGGACUGUUUUGUGAAAACAGCAAAAUAAAACCUAAAUUAACAACGUUCCGCCUCUUCUAAACAAAGUAAAUAGAUUUGAAAUUAAAAAAACAUCAAAUUCAAAAUUUAUUUUUAAAAUUUUUUCCUGGCAGGACAAAAGCAAUUUACGAAGAUGUGCAGCUGGCCUUGUUAUCCCUCUGCCGCCCUCUGCCCUUGCGGUGGUUGUGGACCCAGUGGCUACUACGAUCCCUGCUUUGGACCCUACAAUGGUCCAUUUAACUCCAGGUGUGGCACAAGUGGUCCAGGAUUCUGGGGCGGACGCUGUUUCUAGUCGUCGCCAGGAUGAGAAAGAUCGAUCGUCUUCACAUGCAACAGUCGGGAGGGUUUAAACAUUCAAAAAUUCAAUAAAAUUAUGUUUCAAUUCUGUUUGUGUAU
rnacentral:lncRNA from 1 species